GUGCUCAUAUCGGCAGCAUAUAUACUGAAAUUGGAACCACACAGCGAAGACUAGCACGGCCCCUGCACAAGGGCAACAUGCAAAUUUGUGACGCAUUCCCUAUUUUU
rnacentral:snRNA from 1 species